rnacentral:rRNA from 1 species
UACGUAGGGUGCGAGCGUUGUCCGGAAUUAUUGGGCGUAAAGGGCUCGUAGGCGGUUUGUCGCGUCGGGAGUGAAAACACGGGGCUUAACCCCGUGCCUGCUUCCGAUACGGGCAGACUAGAGGUAUGCAGGGGAGAACGGAAUUCCUGGUGUAGCGGUGAAAUGCGCAGAUAUCAGGAGGAACACCGGUGGCGAAGGCGGUUCUCUGGGCAUUACCUGACGCUGAGGAGCGAAAGCUGGGGGAGCGAACAGG